UCAGGUAGAGAAUACCAAGGCGCUUGAGAGAACUCGGGUGAAGGAACUAGGCAAAAUGGUGCCGUAACUUCGGGAGAAGGCACGCUGGUGUGUAGGUGAAGUCCCUGCGGAUGGAGCUGAGACCAGUCGAAGAUACCAGCUGGCUGCAACUGUUUAUUAAAAACACAGCACUGUGCAAACACGAAAGUGGACGUAUACGGUGUGACGCCUGCCCGGUGCCGGA
rnacentral:rRNA from 1 species